CCUUUUUACUACAGAUGUUCGAGGCGAAUUCAAUACAUGUGAGAACUUGACACAAAUUGCAUUAAUUAAUUAAAACAAAGAAGCAGACAACAUGUAAACUGAGGAAUACUGGUAAAACUGUAUCGUUUCAUUAUCACAAGAUUUCUAAUACUAAUUUGUUUCUUUUCUUCUUUCUUUCAGCUAUUUGAGUUUGGGAAAGGUUGUGGCUUAACUCCACCACAUGACUCUAGGCCCUUCCCAGGUUGGUGUUUCCACUGCGAGCUGACCACUCGCAUACUCUUCUGGUGGAACCCUAAUCAAAUAGGCCAAUGAGCCAAAUUACAUCUCUGUAGUUAGAAACUAAUAAACUAACUUAAACAAAA